UUAAUUUUACGAAAAAAAAUCAUAAUAAAGCUUGGAAUAUUAGGUGGUGUUGAUAUUAAUUAAGGAGAACGUCGUGAUUGGCUUGAAUACAAGCAAAAACAUGAUUGGGAAUUGUAAAUGACAAGUUGACAACCAAUGAGAAGAAGCCACCUGAAAGAAUUCAAAAAGCGUUCUUUUUCUUAUUAGGAAAAAAAAAAAAAUCCCUCAUUUUACAACAUGCAUCUCCUUACCUUAUCCUUAAUUUUACAGAAGAAUUUGGGUAUUCAUUGCUUUCCUUUUAAGCGAAUAUUAGUCGCUAGUUAUAACGUCCAAGUAAUUUAGCUUGAUCGAGAUAACUCUCCCACUCCCAACUCCAAAACCAACACUUCCCUUUCACGCCUUUUCCAAAUCACAGUACUCAACCUUCAUUAUAUUACUUGUUCAAAUCUGUUCUCCUUCUUCAACCUCAAUCUCAACCAGAUCCAAGAAGAUGUGUUGCGGUGGUAGGAUGUGUAUGUUCUGCACAUGCAUCAUUCUAGUGGUGAUCUUGAUCGGAUUGCUGUUUGGAUUUGGUGUUUUCAAGAAUGGGUUUCACAAAUUGAAGGACACAAUUCAUGUGGGUGAUGCUUCUUAUCCUAAUUUCAAUGCUAGGCCAUUCUUCGGCUUUGAUGGAGCUCCUGCUCCUUUCUAGGGAUCGGGAUUCUCUCUAUUCUUCUUCUCGUUCUUCUGUGUUUUUCUUUUUUAAAUUUUUUUAUGGGUAUUUGUUGUUUGAAUUUGUUAUUGUUUAAUUGAAGCUAAUUCUGGUACAGUGUGUAAUGGAUAAAUUUUAGUUCUGAUUCUUCUAAAAUUCUGAUGCGUUUUCCGAUUCCAUUAAAGAAAUAUUCGAGGUGGCCGGUUGGCCUUCUCGCCGCACUGUGUCAGUAGGAUGCUUUGCUUUGCCCUACCGAAUAGGAUGUCGUUUUAUAUUAUUUUAAGGGUAAUUUACGAUUUAGUCCCUGAAUAUUGACAUUAUUAAUAAGUCAGUCCCUAUAUUUUCAGAAACCUAUUAAAACGUCCUUAUGUUUUAUUUCCGUCAACGAAAUAAUCCUUCCGUCAUAUUUUCCGUUAAAAUUAGAUAAAGGAGGAGAGAUAAAAUUUUUAAAAUCCAAUUUUACCCUCAAAUAAAACCAUUUAUUUAGUCCUUGUAUAGUGUAAUUAUUAACAAAUUAGUCCUUACAUUUUCAAAAAUCUAUUAAAAUAUUUUUAUCUUUUUUCAUAUCUAUUAAAACGUCCUUAUUAUUUUUUUCCAUCAAUGAAAUAGUCUCUAUCUUUUCUCACAUCUAUUAAAACAUCCUUAUCGUUUAUUUAAGUCAACGAAAUAGUUCCUCCUCAUCGUUUCUUUCUGUCAACGAAAUCGUCUCUCCCUAUAUUUUUAGAAAUAUAUUAAAACGUCCUUAUUGUUUCUUUUUGUCAACGAAAUAGUCCCUAUCUUUUAUCAGAUCUAUUAAAACAUCCUUAUUGUUUCUUUUUAUCAACAAAAUAGUCCCUAUCUUUUCUUUCCUUUUCCUCCUCCUCCUCCUCCUCCUCCUCCGAAAAAGAAGAAGAAGAGGAAGAAGAAGAAGAAGAAGAAGAAGAAGAGAAAGAAGAAAAAGAAGAAGAAGGAGAAGAAGGAGAAGAAGGAGAAGAAUGAGAAGAAGAAGAAGAAGAUAAAGAAGAAAAAGAAGAAAAAAAAGCAAAAGAAGAAAAAAAAGCAAAAGAAGAAAAAGGAGAAGAAGAAGAAGAAGAAGGAGAAAAAACAGAAGCUGAAGAAGAAGAAGCAGAAGAAGAAGAAGAAGCAAAAGGAAGAAGAAUUAAUGAAGAAGAAAAGGAAGGAGGAGGAGGAGAAAAAUAAUUGGGGGUAAUUUAGUUUUUUACUAUAUUUUUAACGGCAAAAAUAGACAGAAGGACUAUUUCGUUGACGGAGAAAAAAUAUAAGGACGUUUUAAUAGGUUUCUGAAAAUACAGGGACUGACUUGUUAAUAAUGGCAAUACUCAGGGACUAAAUUAUAAAUUACCCUUAUUUUAAUUUAGUUUAGAGUUUAUACGUAAUAUAACCGUUACCGGUUAUAUUUUUGCAAUAGUCAAUUCACCUUAUAAAGCUAAAGCAUUUGUGUUUUGUGUAAAUUUUAUCUUAAUUUAAAAUUAGAAUUCAAGAUUGGGCUGAUGUGAUCAAUUUAAUACAUAUUAUAUGCAUAUUAAUAAAUAAAAAUUAUUUUAAUCAAUUGAAAUAUUUUUAUCCUUUACUAAGUUUUUUUUUUUAAUUUGUAUUAUGAUUUCUUUUUUUUUUUUAAUAUUAUUAUCGAUAUAGUUAAUAAAAAAGCAACUUAAACAAAAUCAUUUCUAUUUUCACUUUACUUUACCAAAAUAAUAAUUUUUAUAUUUAAAAAGUUAAAAAAGUAACUUAGAAUAUAAAAGUAUAAUAGAUAUCAAUUUACAAUAAAUUCUAUUCUCCUUUUUGUUACUUUAUUUCGUAUUGCUGAAUUAGAAUUAAAUAAUUCCCUUCCUAUUCCAUCUUAUUCACAAAAACAAAUAAACUCCUAUUAGAUCUAAUCCUUUAAGUUUUUUAUUAUUUUUAUUUUCAAUUUUUCCUUUAAAAAUUUUAAAUUUUUCAAAAACUUCAUUUUUGUUUUGAGUAAAUAAAAAUAAAUGCAUCUUAAAAAAUUAUAAUUAAAAAUUAUAAAAUAUCUUUUACAUUCAUAAAUUAGAGCAAUAUGAUAAGGAUAUGAUAAAUCUAUAUAUAUUAAAAAUAAUGGUUAAUAACAUAAUUGUAAUUGCAACCUGCUAAUUUAAUUACUAUAAAAUUUUAUUCUUUCAAUAUGCUUUUUUUAGAUAGCUUUUUUAAAAAAGAAAAAUUCAACCAUAUUAUUAAUUAUGGAUUUUUUUUACUAAAACAAUAAUCAAAGUGAAUUUCAGAAAAAAAUAAUAUAGAAAGCGGAUUAAAUUAAAAUUGAAUUAAUAUAAAUUAGUAUAUGUCAAAUCAUUGAUAAAACUAAAAUAAAGUUUUUUUUUUACGAAAAAUAUUUUGCAAUAUUUUUUUAACUUUCUAGUAUUUAAAGUAUUUUAAAAUUUUAAUUAAUAAAAAAUAUUUUUCCAAUAAAAAAUUUAAAAAUUAAAAUUAUUCUUUCUAAAUCAUUUUUCAUAUUUUGAUAUUCUUAUUAAGACAUCUAUAUAAAUUUGAAGUAAUAAAAAUAAAUUAUCUUACUAAAAAAUAUUUUUUACUUAAAAUAUUUUUCAUGAAAAUUAUUUUUUAAAUGAAAAUUAUUUUUUACAAACAAAUAGAGUCUAAAUAUAAUAAUAAUAUCAAAUAUUUUAAUAUUAUAAAAUUUAAUUUUAGAUAAAAUGUCAAAAAAAAACAUUAAAUUUAAAAAAAAUUACAAUUGUAUUAUAAACUUUUAAGUUUUAUCAAUUAUAUUCUAAAUUUUGAUGAUGUGAUGAUGGCAUGUUAGGUGGUAUAAUAAUUUUGUUAGUCGAUGAUAAAAGUAGAAAUAAUGUUAGAAUAUAUUUAAAAUAAAAUAUAAAAUUUAAUUAAUAAUUAAAUUAAUAUUGAAUGUAAUUAUAAAAAUUUAUAAAAUAUAGAAUUUUUUUGUAAUUAACUCUUUAAAUUAUAUAUCAUUGCAUUUUACACAUGCAAAUGUAAAUUGGUUAUUGAAAUCAAUACAUUUUUUUUUUGUAAAAUAAGUAUAUAGAAACUGUUAUUGGUAAAAUUCUUGUUUGAUUAAAAUAAUCGUUUAUAUAUAUACACGAAAUUAUUUUGACCAUUUUUUUAAAAUAAUAAAUUUAAUUUUUAAAAUUCAUUCACGUCAAUAAGCAACGUAAUAAUUGUCCAAAAUAAAUAAUAAAUUGUCACUCUAUAAAUAAAAUUUAAUAAAUUAAUAUUCAGUAGCAAAAGUCUCACCAUAGAAGAAAAAUAAAAAUACUGUAAUACGGUACUUUAUUAAAACUCAUCUUUUUUUAAAUAAAAAUUUUUAUAAAAAGUUGCUGUUAGUAAAUAUAAUCUAAUCGAUUCUCAUUAUAUUUAUAAACAUAGUAUCUUUAUUAACUAAGGAUAUUAGGUAUUAGUUAGAUUUUUAAAAAAUUUAAUAAUCAACUCUGUAUAAAAAAUAAAUGUAUACAGAAAUUAAAGUAUGCAUUUUUAUACUAAUUUAAGCAUUUAAUUCUCUCAUUCCGUUUUUUUUGUAAAUCGCUGCCAAUCCCUUAUUCUUUCAACUUUAUUUUAGAUUUAUCGCUAGUAUUUAAACUCAAGUCGUCUAAAAAAAAGUCAGAUAUCCUAAAGUUUUAUUAUUUUAUUUAUAAUAUUUAUAUUGAUUAAAUUAAUACACAUUAUUAAUUUUAUUUUCUUAUAAUUUUGUUUAAAUCUAAUUUGAAUUUAACUUUAUAAUCAAAAUAAUUAAUUUAAUUUAUUUUAGAUACUUAAUAUAAAAAAGUGUAAAAUUUAAAAAGUAAUUGAUAUUGGCUAUUUUAUAGCUGAUAUUAUUUAUUUUAAGUGAUUUCUAUAAACACGCUACUUAAUUUUUAUGAACACACACUACUGCAGAGUUUAUACUAAAAUUAGUUAGAAUUUAGAUUAAUUAUUUUUAAUUUAAUUUAUAUUAAAAUGAUUUAGAUUUAACUGAAAUAUAUAUUAUAUUUAUAAUAAAUUAUUGAUAAAAGUAAUAAAAUUAAUCAACAGCUCAAUUAUGAUUCAAAAUAUCUGAGAAUUUGCUUACCCUGAUUUAUUGCAGUAGUCAAAAUUAGCCAGAAAUUCAGUUCCAAGUUUUCACUUUCAUAUACCUACUAAAAAAGAUUUGACCGUUUGACAUUUCAUACUUUUUUUGAAAAAUUAAUUAUUCAUAAAAAGAAAACAAAUAAUGAAUAAAAUAACAAUAUAAAUUUGAGAAUUAUAUUAAAUUAUUAAUUAAAAUAAUGAAGACUGCUAAUAAAAUUAAUUAAUAAAAAGUCCAAAAUCCAGAAAACUUGUUGCUGAAGGUCAACAGCAUCGACAAAAACUCUUCUAUGCCAAGAAAACCAUGGUCCCCUAUAUAAAGACGAACAAACCAAAACUAAGUAAUAGGAGAGAAGGAGAUAGAUCCGAUUCACCAAAAAAAGAUGAGAAUCACUGUAAUGACAGCUGACGAACACAUCAUAUCUCUAGAUGUGGAUCCCCAUGAAUCUGUAAUCUCUCUCAAACCCUAACUUGAAUUUUUACAUAUAUACUUACCGUCUUUAUAUGGGUAAUCGUAGACUGACCAUUUUUUUUUUUUAACAAUUUAAUUGAAGGUUGAGAACGUGAAAGCUCUUCUUGAAGUGGAGGUAAUCCCUUUCUCUCUGAGUCUCUCUCGUUUUCUAGCUGUUGCUGAGGAAGUAGACAGAAAGGAAAACGAAAAAGAUACUUGGAAUUCCAGCUCAAUAAUUUGCAUUGAAAUUUAAGAACUGAGAUUGUUUUAUAUGAAUAAAUUUUGUUGCUUUUUUCUUCUUAUUGUUAUUUAUAUGUGAAUGAGCAGACACAGGUGCCACUGCAGCAGCAGCAGCUGCUGUAUAAUGGGAGAGAAAUGAGGAAUAAUGAGAAAUUGAGUGCAUUGGGCGUUAAGGAUGAGGAUUUAAUGAUGAUGGUCUCCAGUGCUGCACACAGGUGUUUACUCUUUUCGUGAUCUACUGUUUACUUAAAUAGAUUUCUUAGCUCAAUUUUGGAAUGUCAAUUAUGUUUUCCAAUUUGGUGGCUCCAAUCUUCAUACAUGUGUUCGAUGUUCGUAGUGAUAUUCAUGACAUAAGUAUAAAUUUGCUUUGGGAAUGAUUUCUGUGAUUUACACUCUGAAAAUUUGCAUUUUAUUCAGUGGUGGAUGCAGAUUUUUUUUUUCGGAGUAAAUUAACUUUCCAAUGGUAAAAAUAUAUCAUUAAAAAAGAGGGUUCAACGCUUAAAUUUAUGAUGGAUCAGUUUAAGUAAACAUUUAAACAUAUGAUCGUGACUUUUUAGAAAAGAGUAGUCAAUUAACCCCACUUUUCUUAAGGUAGAUACACCACCGAUUUUACUAUGUACUGUUGAUUUUUUUAGCUUAAUGGAACUGACUUAUAUGGGAAGCAUCAAGCGAAAAACUGAACUACAUUAAGUACUUAUUGUAUUUGUGUAGUUGUGAUGAUGGUAGAAGUCCAGAUUCGUUGUAGAUGAUAAUUUGGGGAACCAAAGAAUGUAAACUAGAUGGGUAUUCAGAUGCAUGUUUAUUUUUGGAAUUGAUUGACUGUUAGAAAAUAAGCCAUGAUUCCACAUUGAAAGGUUAUUGGAAAUUGAGUGGUUGCAUUUGUUGUAUUUGGUGCAAGUAAUUGGAAGAUGUUAAGGAAGGGGGUUAAUAUAUACAGAUUAUCCAAUCAUUCCAUUGAUUACACAUGUAUUAAAUCUUAAGUAGCCAAUUUUUUUGUAUGAACCCAUUUACUUCUCCUUACUUCAAUUAUUUUGUUUCUGGUAUCUGGCCAUUGCCUUUCUCUGUUAGUGAUUCCAUUAUUUACUUUUGUGUCUUUAUUUGUGGCCUUCAUGGGAUUUAGUGGCCUUCAUGGGAUUUACUUGCCUUUACAGGGAUAUUAUUUUAGCUAAAUGCGCACUUGUGCAAAGUCAGACACACACCGUUUUUAUUGAAAUGAACUCUAUUCUAUGCCUAGUUAUGCUAAAUGAAACUUUAAAUUAUUUCAGAGCUCCUGCAAAUGAUUUGAGCUUCAAUCCUGAUGGGUCUGCUGUGAAUCCUGAGGCUUUCCAACAACAUAUUCGGCAUGAUUCUAAUUUGAUGGCCCAACUAUUUCAGGUGCAAUGGAUGGCUAUUUUUGUUAAUAUUUUUGACAUUUUUUUUAAUUUUUUACUCUCUUCUAAAUUGCAAGUAUUGGGUGAUUUCAUAUUAGUUAAGUUCUUCACAAAUCAGAUGAGAAAGUUACUGCAUUUUUGAAUCAUUAAUAUUCCCUUAUUUCUUCUUAUAUUUUUUCCCUUGAAGAUACACAUUACCCGUCAAAAUCUCUUAUUUAUGCCAUUGAGUUUCAUUGUAUUGGAAGUUUGUUGUGAUUAUACUUAUGGGAAUUGCUAUGAUCUUGAUUAUUUUCUGUUGAUCUUAUGGUUGUUGAAUAAGCUGUGACAUUACUUAAGUGCAAAAGAUUUGAACUCUCAGUGGAUAGUUGCUUAUUUUUCUCCAAAUUUGUUCCUAGUUUCUAUGUUUUGGCUGCAUCACUUUGAUUUUUGAUUCUAUAUGUGGUUAUCAUAGACUGAUCCGGAUUCUUCCUCUUGUUUGUGUUGCAUUUGCAGACUGAUCCAGAACUUGCACAAGUUCUUCUUGGCAAUGACCUCAGCAAACUGCAGGAGCUCUUGCGGCAACGGCAUCGCCAGAAAUCUGAAUUGCAGCGCCAACAAGAGGAGGAACUAGUAAGUGGCUAGCUUUUCCUGGUUAAUUGCCACAUUUGUCUUAAAGGACUUCUCACUUCUAAGUUUAUUGAUGAAUGUUACUUUUUUUUUUUAAAACUUUCUAUUUAUAUAAAAUUGGUUUAUUUAUGUUUUAUUUAAUAAUCUCUAAGUAACUUCACAUAAAAGUUAGUAAGGCAUGAGUGCAUUAAGUAUAGGUCAUGACCUUGUGCUGACAUGUUAUCAUAAUAACAUGGCACCUAGAAAAUUAUUCUGGACCUCUUGGUUGAGGCACACAUAUUAUGUAUUAUAACUGCAUAAAGGAACCGUGUGCUUCAAAGGUCAAUACUGUAGAUGAGGGCCCAAAAUAAGUAUUUUAUUUCUAAUGAUGUACUGUGUCACGAUGAGGGUGUUUGAAAACAUAUAGUGUCCAUGCUAUGUUAUACCUUGGUAGGUUGCUCCUCUGAUAUACUGUUUAGACUUAAUUACUCGGUAGUUAAUAUAUCUUACUUAGAAGCAUCAAUGUCAAUGAAAUGUUUUCUUGCCAGCUAUGGUUGUGAUUUAUUUAGAAGCUGAUUUACCUCUUACUUUUUAGAUUUCAUUUUGAUAUACUUGUUAGAUUUGAUUAAUUGGUAAAAUUUAGUAAAUUUUAUUGUGAAUCAUCAUUGUUUGAUGAAGUUUCAUAUUGUCUACUGCUGUGAUUUAUACCAAUUUUUUAAUAGAAGGAUAAAAUUUCAGUUCAUCAUUAAAAGUGGAUUCAUUUAUUAAAUAGAGAUGCUGAUUAUAUUUACCUAUGUUCUUCCAUUUUGCAUUUUAGGCUCUUCUUGAUGCAGAUCCUUUUGAUGUUGAGGCACAGAAGAAAAUUGAAGCUGCCAUUCGCCAGGUCAGUUUAAUUUGCAUUCUUCAAAUGUGACAAUUAACUGGCAAUGACUCAUGAAUAUUUUUUUUUUGAAUUUUUUAAUAUAUAAAGAAGUACCAUGUUAAGCAUCUGUUGUCAUUGGGGGAUAAUGUUGAUUGGGUUGAAUAGGGACACAGUUAGUGUUUAUGAACACAAAGCAUAUGACUGAAACAGCUGGAGACAAUUUGGUAUUUUCAAGAUGUUUUGGAAAUUGAUGUAUUUUCACCAUUUGCUGAAUCCAAAUGCAGAAAGGAAUUGAUGAGAACUGGGCAGCUGCAUUGGAAUACAACCCUGAAGCUUUUGCUAGGGUGGUAUGUAUUCUCUUCAACGUAGUGGUCUACAGAAGUCAGUUGAUUAUGUUUAAAAUUGAAGCUUAUUCUUUAAAUCUUCAGGUUAUGUUGUACGUUGACAUGGAAGUUAAUGGCGUCCCUUUAAAGGUAGAGACUACAAAAAUUAGCUGAUGCUUCAACCAAGAAGCAAUCAUGUUAUUCUUUCAAUUUUCAACAAAACCUGAUUUUUGUAUUCUUUCAUCACAACUUCCUUGUUAUUUAUUCCCAAGACAACAUUAUUAUGAAACUAUUGCUGAAUUUAUGUUGGACUCUAUGCUGUUAUAGACAAUGGUUUUAUCAAUUAUGAUGGAUCAAUAACCUUAUUAAAUUUCUCUUAUUUCAGGCAUUUGUUGAUAGUGGUGCUCAGUCGACAAUAAUAUCGAAAAGCUGUGCUGAACGAUGUGGGUAUGUACUGUUGUAUAUGUGUUUAUUUUAUUAUUUGAAUAACUACUGUUGAGUUCUGAAAAUUGGGUGAAGAGUUAUUUGUGUGGUGCUAAUAAUGUUAAAUAUCGUAAUUCUAAUGAUAUAAAAGAUGGAUUUCCUGGCUAAACUUAUUUUUAUCUAUAUCUGAUGUAUAAGGAUCGGUUUAUGGAACCAUAAUGAAUAUCGAAUAUGGAAUGAUUGUUUUCUCAAAGUAAAUGGGUUGAUUCCUUAGGCUUUUUGGUUUUUAUAUGCACAGAAAUUGGAAUAAGUCUAAAUCUUUUUCAUAAUAAUCCUAAAUAGAGAUAAAGUUUUUUACUUUCUAAUAUCAUUUAUUUUACAGAAGUAUAAUAUUUUUGUUAAAAAAAUUAUUAAAUAAGGUGACAGAUGUGUCGUUAAUAAUCAUGUUUCUUUUCUGUAAUUUUUCAAAAUUUCUAUAAACUUAAUUAGUUUAAACAUCAUCUCUCUAUAAAUUGAUUUUAUUUUGAAAUUAUGUUGUUAAUUCUUUAUUUUCUUAGAAUUUUUCAACAUGGAAUGCUCUUAUUGGUCAAAUUAUUCUUAUUUAUAUUUUUACUGCUCCCAAAUUAUUUUACUUAUUUAUUAAUAUUUUCUUGAAAUUCUAUUCCUAUCUGGCAAGUGCUUGUUCACAUGAUAUUUAUAUUUUUAUUAACUAAAAUGUAAUAUUAUAACUUGUAUCAUUUUUUUAUUAGUAUGCAAUUUUUUAAAUCCUAAUUGCCAAUUAGGUGGCAUGCUAUCAAUAUUGACAAUGAUUAUUUAGGAGACAAACUUGAAAGUUAAUUUAAUCAUUUUCUUUUAUAUAUAUUCAGAGCCAUGGAACAGACAAUCACUGAUUCAUUGGUUUGACCUGUUAGUCACUAGUUUGAGUGUUUGACUUGAUUUACAUCAGAAUUUGAUUGUUGCUUCCCUUUUUCUUUGAAAUUACAUUCUGAUUCCUUUGCUGUGAAGUAAAUACUGGAAAUUGCAAUUAUCAAUUCAGAUUUUGGCCCUAUUUUUCCACAACUCAGAUGGCAUCUGAGCAUAUUACUAGUUAUUUGGUAAGUCUACACAAGAUACAUAUAUGGGUUCUCAACUCUUUAACUUGGCAGUUGCACAUUGCUAAUUGUCUGUCAUGUGGCAAAGUGGGUUUCUUCUUGCUGUAUUUUUGUAUAGCGUGCCUUUUUUUUUUAUCCUUCUAAAGUGGACAAUAUGGAAGUUCCAUGCUUUAUUUCCGUUCUUUUUAUUAGUGAUGUGGAUGAUAUAUUUUACAUCUUCUCAAAGAAAUUGAAAAAUGGAAAGGCCACCAUAACUGUUGCUUUCUUCUUGGCUUGUCUAAUUCAGAUUGCUGAGGCUUUUGGAUCAACGAUAUAGAGGGAUUGCUCGUGGAGUGGGUCAAUCUGAGAUAUUGGGACGGAUACAUGUAGCUCCAAUAAAGGUAGUAAUACCUGAUGGGUUCUUGUAAGACUACCUGUUUGUUUCACCAAGCUAGUUUGUUAUUGGGUCAUCGUGUGUGCAUUGUGUUUGUGGUUGUAAAUGCAGUUUAUAAUUUUUGCCCUAUCUUUCUCUGCGAGUGUUGGUGUAUAUGCUUGUUUUUUACAAGGGCAACCAUCUUAACGAAAGGGUAUUUUAACGUAUUCCUCUUGUGCAAGCUAAAAAAAUUGUCAUAUUCCAACUACUUCCGGGCAUGAUUAAUCAUCUUUUACAUAAAUGUUAGUUUAUCUAUGUUGGUUAAAUAAUGGAGAACCUGUGGAUAAAUUUGACCUAUUUAUAUUCUACACUUUGUCUUCUUUUGGAAUUCAUUUUUUGAUCUUUGGCCAUUGAGCUCUUUCACUUCUCCAUAUAAAUACUUUGUUAUCUUGAAAAAUGUGUUUAAGAAUAUUAGGCACGCAUAUUUCGAUAUGCAUUAUACUUUUUUUCUCAUAUUUCAUUUAUAAAAUGGUGUACAAGUAUUCAACUUAGAGAUAUUUCUUGUGCAAUCAUUUGGUUGUUAUUUGUUACUAAGUAUAUACUUAAAUCUGAUACUAACUUCAUUCUUUAAUGCUUUUUAUUCUCUCCAGAUUGGGAACAUAUUUUAUCCUUGCUCCUUCCUAGUGCUGGAUUCUCCCAACAUGGAAUUUCUUUUCGGGCUCGAUAUGCUGAGAAAGCACCAGGUAGCAUCUUCCAUUGGGUUGUUAUGUGGUGAUCUACUGGAAGCAUUAUUUGUUGUGGUUUACCUGUUUCUAUGAAUUUAUUCAAAUAUGUUUGGCUGCAGUGCAUUAUUGAUUUGAAGGAGAAUGUUUUGAGAGUUGGGGGUGGAGAAGUUUCUGUACCAUUUUUGCAAGGUAAAUCAUCUGGCUUCAGGAUUUGCUGCUCUCUGCAACAUGGAUCAUGUUUCCGCUGCUUGAACCUGUUUCAAUUUCUAGUAUUCCCUGCCUUAUUCUUUCAUUUUACUUCAUAAAUUAACUUCUUUGCUGUUUCAGAAAAAGACAUUCCAUCACAUAUUCUGGAUGAAGAGAACCUUGCCAAAGAAGCAUCCAGCUCAGUAAACCCAGUAAGUCCACUCCUUUUAAUGGAAGUACAGAGCUGGUCCUUGUUGUAUGUUAGGCUUCUAACUGAACUAUUUUGUGACUAGUUUCCAAAUGCUGAUGAAAUACUUGAUUCAUUUACUGAAUUAUUCUUAAAUUGAAGUGUCAUAUAAUGUUUUUAUGUCAACAUUCAAGCUUCUUGAUGUUUGAAAAACAAUAAUUUCAUUGGAACAGUACAUGUAUCUCCCCAGCCAUUGAAGGGUAAAUUGGCUUGGGAUAUCUUUCUCAAUCCUUUGCUGUGAUUACUACUGCAAUUUCUACUAUAUUAGUGAAAACUUUAUGAUCACAAGUCGUGUUUGUGGCGCAAAUAACUCUACUUUCGUUCCGGGAUAUCCUUGGUUUUGAUGGUUAACUAAGGUCAUACUAGAAGGGCUGUAAUUUUCCUGCAUGUAAAAUCAAAGAGUUACUUUUGGAAAUAGGAAGAACAAUGAACAAGUUACUUUCUAAGAUAUCAGAUGAGCAAAGAACUGAAGGUCUACAUUCAGUUUCUUGAACAUAACAAAGAUGAGCAUUUUCAAAUUGGUUUUGGCUUUUUUAGUUUUUGAAUGGAUCCACCUUGAUUCAUCAGGGGAUAUCAGGAGCAAUGGAUAAGAAGAGCAAUGUACCUGCAGGUCAAUCUUCUGGUAAGUUUUUAUAAUUUUUGAAAUUUUUUAUGGGUUAUUCUGAUUCUGCAGCUAUUCUAACCAAUUUAAGUUAAUUUAUUUAAUUUACUAUGGUAAUAUUUGCAUGAAUUUUUAGAUUCUAGUGCUGUCUUUGUUAUUUGAGGAUUCUUUGCAGCCUGGAAAUAGUUUGUCAAAUUAUUUGCUGGGCUGUGUUCGAUAGAUGGGGUUCUUUUAGUGCCCUGGUGAGUUUUUAUGUAAUUUAGUGAUUAAUCUUUCAUUUUUGCUUGGCCUUGCAGGAGUUGCACGUGGCAAUGCAACACAGGUAAGACAUGCAUCCUUCUGCAGUUCUGUUAGUUUAGAAUUAACUGUGUUCUGAUAGUUGCUUUUAUUUAUUCUCGAAUUCAUCAAAACUUCUUGAUAAUAUGUGCAACCCCUCUCUCUCUCUCUUUUAUUUUUUUAAUAGGCAAAAGCCAAAAGAGAAAAAAGAAAAAAGAAAAAAGAAAAAAGAAAAAUCUACCAUCAACAUAACUUUAAAAGUUGACCUGAUUUUACUAUUAAGUUGCAAAGUCUUCUAUUUACUUUUUACAAUCAAGUCCUGAUAUCUUUAAAUUCACUCAAGAACUUGUCUUAUCCUUUAAGUCAUCAGUGCCUAUGCUCUUAGUGAGCACUAGAUACUUCCUCCUUUCACUCGCUACAGUACUAAAACUUCAAUUUUUUGAACUUUUUCUUUUCUUUUCUUUUCUUAUUUCACUAUUUUUUCUUCUUCCUUCUGAAAGACAAAAAACAUCUAGAUACAUAAAAAUUUAAGAAUAUCAAGAACAUAGAGCCUAUGAAAUUUCAUUUUUCAUCAAACAAAUUAGAAUAUUUUAGUAGAUUCUGUUCAAUAUCUUUGGAUCUUCAGCUUUUGUUUUAGUUUGAACUUAGAUUAUUUGAGAUAUAAUGAGUUUUAUAUCAUUAUUUUUUGGACCCUUCAUGAAUUUAAAUUGUGGUUGCGGACAACGCAAUGGUCAAUCACAAUGCAAUUUUGUUUUUCGAAAAUUUUUCAAAGUUCAGUAAAGAAAUAAAUAUUUAAGAAUUAAUUAAAGUAAGAUACAUAAUUAAAGAAUAAGCAUAUAUGCAUCAACUAAAAAAAUACAUUCUUAGCAUCAUUAGUAUUAAUCAAUUUAAAAGUUAAAUCACUAUGUAGAUAGUAAAGACUUGGGUCACUUAACCUUAUGCCUUUAAAAAUUAGUGCUUAGAAGGUUCUUGAUUAUCUUGAAUUUGAUCAUACUCUGCAAAUGUUAAUUAAAUUUAAAAGUGUCUUUGAUGCUAUUUUCCAAUUGCAUAAAUAUAUUUACUAAAAAUAAUUCUAAAGUAGUUGAAAAUUAGAUAAGGGAAAGACAAUAACCUAUAAAGGACACAACUUGGCAUAAAUUCUUGAACAAGAUAAGCAAAAGACACGAAAAAACCAAAGCCAGAGAAUCCACCUCGCAAAAUAUGAUUGUAGAUUGCUCGCUUUCAUAAGAAGCUUUCACUAAUCGAUGAUCUCAGCUCAAGAAGUAAAGGGCUUGAAAGUUGAGAAAAAAAUGAGAAACAUAAGUGGAAACCUCUAGAAAUCAUAAACAAAAGAGUGAAAUUAGCUGGUUUCCCCCCUCUGAAUCAAAAAUAAAAAGGAAUCCCACACGAAUAACUAUCAUUAUCAUUAAGUUUCUUGCACUUGCAUUUUUCUCAUAGAUAAUGAAAAUGAUGGUAAUCGAGCCUUCAAACCUAUAGAUAAUGAUCACUAGAUUGUGACAGGCAUUAGUUAUAACAUGAACAAAAUUUAUGUCAAGAUAAAUUUUAGAUGGUUAAUUUUGUGGAUUAUUUUGAAAUUUUAAUAAUUAACUUGAAAAUUUAAGUAAGAUAUUAAAUAAUUCAUAUUCCAACUUAUAAUUUAAGUAAAAAAUAGGAGAUUAAAAAAAUUGAACAGAAAAAUUGUUGAAAUAUUUUGAUUUUAUUGUGAAGAAAGAAAAUUCCGUGAGAAACCGUUUUGAUUGUUGAUCAUUAAUUGGAAGUUCCUUUUUCUGUUUGUAUGAUGAAUUUGGACAAGUGUAAUGGCUAAUUUGAAUAUGAAUUUUUGUUUACUGUCACUCUCAGGGACCUGAGUUUGAAGCCAAGGUUGUAAAGCUCGUUGAGUUAGGAUUUGGAAGGGAUGCCGUGAUACAAGCUCUUAAAUUAUUUGAUGGGAAUGAAGAACAAGCUGCUGGAUUCCUUUUUGGUGGUUGAAGACAACUCCUCAUGUAUUCUUUAGUUUCUCAUUCAUUGUGGGGAAAAAUAUUGAUCUCAGUAAUUUAAUGACAGCUUUACAAAUUCAGAAGGAAGAAAAGAAAGGUUUUCAGAAAGAAAAGGACAAUUUGCUUCCACAAACUAGUUUUGCAAUUCAAUGGAAAGUAAAUUUAACAGUUACUGAUUUUCUUUCCUUAUUUAUUUCAACUUAACCAUGGAAAAGACAUCUGAUGGUGUUUAUUGGCAUUUCUAUUUUCCCGAUAUAUCUGGUGUGUUAAAUUUUGAGCAACUAUAGUUAUGAGUUUUGGCUUUAUGGUAUGUCAUUCAUCAGACUAUUCCGGAAGUUUCUGCAGCAGCCAUUCAAAGAGCUAAGAGCUGAGGAAUUCAAUAGAAGAAUCUGCAGCAAUUAAUUAGUAAAGGGAGUCUAUAUAUGAGCUAGAAAGCUGGUGUGAGGUAGUCCAGUUGUGGGGAGGAUUAGGUAUUGAUACGAAGAUAUAUCAUCUGUCAGUACAUAUACUUCUCUAUUUUUUCUGUGGGAUAAUGGUCAAAAAAAUUUUAAAUUAUUUGCGAUUUAAUAAAAAUUCUGUAUUUUUUAUAUUUUAAUAAAUAUAUUCUAAAUUAUAAAAAUUAAUUAAUAUGUUUUAAAUUAACUAUUUAAAUUUAUUUAUAUUAUACUAUUAUUUUAAUCGGUUUAAAAAUUAAUAUUUUAAUAUAACUCAAAUAAAUAAUUAUCAAUAAAAAAUUUAAAUUUUACACAUUUUAAUAAUUAUAUUUCUAAUUUGUUUUAAUAAAUAUAUUUCAAAUUAAUUUUUUUUAUUUGUUUAAUUUUUCAUUUUGAUUUGAUUUAUAAUUUUGUAGGACAGAUUUCUAAGAGUCAUAAUUUAUUUUUUUAUUUUUUUUAUUGAUAAAUAUAAUUUUUUCCUAAUUAUUGAAUAUAGGUGUUGUGAUAAUAAUACUAGUAAUAAAUCAAGAAUUAUGAUUUUCGCUUAUAUCCACUUUAAUAGAAUUAAAAGUUAACAAUCAAUCUAAUUAAUUUAAUUAAUCUUCUCAUUGCAUUUAUAAUUUAUAAUUAUAACUAUACAAAAGGUUGCAUUUACUGACAAAAAAAUAUUUAAAAAUGAGUUAUGAAUUCCUAAACAUAUGUCAAGCCGAAAUUAUAAAUGUAUCGAAUCAAAAUAAAAAAUUAAAUCAAAUUAAAAAAUCGAUUUGAGGUAAAUUUGUUAAAAAAAGUUUAGGAUAAUUAUUAAAAUUUAUAACAUAUGGAGUUUUUUUUAAUAAUUAUCACUCAUAUUAAAAGAUUAAUUUUUAGUUUAGUGCCGAAUAAUAUAUUAUGUUUAAGAGGAAGUUGCGGGAGUAUGUGUUGUGAGCCGGACGCUAUUGAAUUUUAUGAAGAGUUAUUAGUGAUAACUCCAUCUUAGCAUGAUUUAUUGUGUUAUGACACAUCAAAUAUAUAUUUUAUUAAAAUGUUUUAUAUUAUAUUUCUAUUUACUAGAUUAUAACGGCUCAUUCCUGUUCAGUAGUUUUCUAAGUAUAAUUCUUUGUAUAAUAGUUUAGCUUUGAACUUAUGAUGUUGUUAUGGUUUAUUACUGUGCUUGUUAGGAACUUCUUUUAUGACCUCCUUAUUGAUGAUAUUAGUAUAUAAAAGUUUUGAUUUCAUAUUAUAUUUGAAUUAAACUGUGAUAUAUAACAAUGAUUAUUGAUGAGAAUUCUAAUACAAAUUUAAAUUUAUAAUUAUAUAUAUACCUAUUGAAUUUGGCUCAUAUUAUGAUAAUAUUUUAUGUACAAUCACGUAGAGAUUAUUAGAUAUAAUUAAGUGUAUAGUAAGUUCGCUUUGUGCUCCGGCAAUUUUAAGUUUAUUUAAAUCUCGAUAUCAAUAACAGUUCGAUUUUUAAAUUAUAUACUAUUUAAUAUUACUUUUAAAUUAUAAAAAAUAACUUUAUUAAAUAUAUUUUUUUUUUGAAAUAGGGGUUGGGGGAGUCGAACCUUAGACCUUUCAAGACUACAGGAUGCAUUUUCCACCAGGCUAAGCUUUGGAGUGCAUUAAAUAUAUUAUUUAUGUUUCACUUUAUAUUUUUUUUUCUAAUUUAAUUCUAUUUUUUAAAAAAAAUUUAAUAAUUUUAUUUAAAACUUGUGAAUUAUUAAAAUUCUACUCUAAAACUUAUUGACAUGACAUAAUGAUGUACGAUGACAUAUUAGAUAACAUGAUAAUUUCAUUAAACCUCUAAUAUUAUAAGUAAUUUAGCAUAAUUUUAAAAUAUUAAAAUUUAAUUUAAAAAAAAAUUAUAAAAAUAUUGUAGAAAAUGUAUUUUUUUUAAUGAUUGUCUCUUAUUUUAAUUAUGCAUUAACAAUUAAUGGAAUGGGCGCAUAAUGUAAGGAAGCUCUCCUCUGAAAAAACAAAACAAAACAAAAUAAAACAAAACAAAACAAAACAAAACAUAUUGCUUCUUGCCAAGAAAUGACAACUACAUCACCCAAUGUGCUGAUUGCUAAAUAAAGUUUAAAAAAUGGAGACCUUUUAAUAUAUAUAUAUACAACAGCGUCGGCCCCUUUCUCAAUUUCAAUCAUUUCUCUAUUAUUUAGACAAACAUUAUAAUGAAAUUGAUAACUUUAUUAUAAAUACUAAUUAUAAUGAAAUUCAUAUAAAUUUUAUCAUAAUUAAUAAUUAAUAUAUAAUCAUUCUAUAUACCAUAAUUAUAUUCAAUAUUUUUUAAUUAUUUAAUAUAAACUUAAUUAAUAAAUUAUAUGUAACUUUCAUCCUAAUUAAUAGUUAAUAUUUAACUAUAUAUAUAUAAAACGAUCACUUUGAAUAAUUUUCUCGGGAUUAUAUUUUCAAUAGAAUAUUAUAAUAAAAUUUUAGUUCUGUUGGGUAUUGUUUUUAAAAAUUUAUUUUGCAAUCUUUUGAAAUUAAAUAAAUUUUUUUAAAAUUUUAAUUUUUAUAAUAAAAUUAUCAAAAAUUUAUCUUUAAUUUAUAAUUUAACAAAAAGUAAUUAAUAAAAAAUAAAAUAAAAUAGAAAUAAGAGUGAUUUUUUUUUUUGUAAAAAUGUAAACUAUUUAUAAUAAAAAAAAUAUACGUCAUAAACUGUAUAAAAAUUUUGAGAUAAUAUAAUAAAAUUAUAACGGUCAAAUUUAAAAAUCUUACAAAUAAAAUUUUUAACGACCAUAAAAUAUUUAAUUAUUAUAAAAUUUUUUGAAAUCUAAAUUUAUUUUACAACAAUCCAACAUAUUUUAAAAGAUUUGUUAUUAUUAAAUUUAAAAAUUUAAUAUAUAUAUUUUGAAUUUGAUAUUUUUUACACUAUAAAUCGAAUUUAGAUUAAUAAGAUUUAACAUAUAAAAUAAUUGGUGAAACUUUUAUUUUUAUAAACAAAAAACUUUCUUUAUAUAUUAAUAUCCCAUCAAUUUCAUAAUAUUUUACAGAAUUUAUCAUUAACCUGAUCUAAAAAAAAAUUUUAUUAGACCAGGAUUUAAAAAUUUUGUUUUAACGUAAAACUACAAAAAGCCCUGAUUAUUUAUAUGUGCAGUGGGGAGCUGGCUUCCUUUAUAAAGGAUGCCAAUAAUUCUUAUUCUCUACAUAAAUUGCGUUAUAAUUUAAUCUUUGAAUAUUAUCAUUAUUAAUAAGUAAGCCUUUGUAUUUUCUGAAACCUAUUAAAACGUCCUUAUUUUAUUUCUAUCAUCAAAAUAGUUAUUUCGUAUAUUUCUGCCGUUAAAAAUAUAGCAAAAAAUUAAAUUACCCCCUUCUUUUCCUCCUCUUUCUCCUUCUUCAUUGAUCCUUCUUCAUUGAUUCUUCUUCUUCUUCGAUUUUUUUUUUCAAUUUUUUUUUAUUCUUCUUCUUUAAAAAAUAUUUUUCUUUUUCUUUUUCUUCAUUAUCUUCUUCUUCUCUUUCUUUUUUUUUCUUUUUCUUUUUCUUCUUAUUUUUUUUUCUUUUUCUUCUUUCUUUUCCUUAUUAUCAUCAUCUUCUACUUUUUUUUCUCUUUUAUUAAGGAGAAAAAGGAGAAAGAGGAGAGACUAUUUUGUUAACGGAAAGAAACGAUAAGAACAUUUUAAUAGAUAUAAGAAAAAAUAAGACGUUUUAAUAAAUCUUUAAAAAUGUAGGAAUUAACCUGUUAAUAAUAGUAAUAUCUAAAAACUAAAUAAAGGGUUUUAUUUAAAAGCAAAAUUAAAUUUUAAAAAUCUUAUCUCUCAUACUUUAUCUAUUUUUAACGGAAAAAAUGACAGAAAGAUUAUUUUGUUGAUGGAGAGAAAAAUUAAAAACGUUUUAAUAGAUUUCUAAAAAUAGAGGGACUGACUUGUUAAUAAUGGCAAUACCUAAAUGCUAAAAUAUAAAUCUCCCAAAUAAUUAACUAUAUAAUUAUUUUCAAAAAUUUUAUUUUAAAAAAUUUUAUUAUUAAAAAAUAAAAUAAAAAAAUAUAUAUAUUGAUCGUUAAUAUUCUCUCCCUUCCUCCUCCAAAAAUGAUUUUAUUUCAAUUUUUAAAAAUACUUAUGCUAAUCUAUCAUGAAGAAAAAUUAUUAUCAUUAACCUAUAUAAAAAAAUUUAAUUAAUAUGUUGAGAAUAAUUAAAAGAGUAAAUGAAAUAACAUCUCUUACUUGUCAGUACCAAUGUGCGGUUGUAAGAGUAUAUUUUCAUUAGAUAAAUUUGUAUAAAUAGAUUUGUUAAGUAAAUGUGAAACUUUUUAUAAAAAAAACAUUAGAGACAAUAUUUCCUUUUAAAUAUUAUUAAAAAAGAGUAUUAUUUUCUUUUCUAUUAAAAAGUAUAAAAAAGAAAUUUAUUGGCCUAAGGGGCACUCAAAUAGCUUUGCCCCUGUAUAUAUACACACAUAUAAGCCAUCAUAAAAGUUGGAUAGCAAAAUAAUUCCAGAACUCUUAAAACUUCAAAGAAGAAUCACAAACAAAUGAUGGCCUUGUUGUAUUUUUUUAAGAUUAUGACUUGAUUCUAGUGCUAACUUACUACAGCAAUAGCAGAGAAAAGAAAGCAGAGCACUACGCAUCAGAACCGAGUGACUCAUCCAUUCAAGUCCAUCCUAAUAAAACAGUUCAGGCCAUAGGCAAGUAGAUUAUGCAAGUUAGUCCAGUCACUUAAGAAAGUUAAACUGGCCUCAACAGAUGCUACUUGGGCACUAAAUAUUUGAGCUAAUCUUAUAAGCAGAAGUGUUGAAGAACGAUAGGGACAGCACCAGACAACAAACAAAAAUCCAUUAUCAACUGAGAAUAAAUAACAAGUCAGAAAUGAAUGAUAUUCAUAUCUUUUAAAUGAAACAAGGCCUUUGAUAUGGAAAAUUCAUGCCAAGUUACAACCACAAACUUCCUCUCACCAUGACAUAUCAGAUCUCAAAAUAAAGCUAACUAGUCAGAGGUUAAAAAAAGCCGCAUUUAAAAUAAUUAAAACCUCUCUGCCAAUCUAGCACUAACUUGCCUAAGCUUCGAGUAUACCUUUCCAGCAGGGGACCCUAAAAUGAGGCUGCAGAGGGAAUCCCUGGCAAUUUUAAUGUUUUGAAAUGAUCCUAAUAUGUGAAUCUUGGUAUCUGCGAUCACAAUCCUUGUUUUUGUAGCAUUCUCAAUAGCAAACUUGGUUUUGCCACCUUUACCCGACAGUCUUCCAAUGGCACGAGAUAAGUGCUCACCUCUAAGGGUUUUAACAUCUUUGAUUUCAAAAGAUUCCACAUAUAGCUCAUCCAAUCUCAAAAGUGCAAUAGCAUCUAUAACAUCGAAACCUAGCAUAAAAGCAUGUACAAAAUCUGCACACUUCUGCAGGUUACUAACAUCAGGUGUAUCUGAUCUGGUUUUUAAUUCAACCUUUCUAGCCUUGAGAUUCAUUCGGAUGUCAAUUUUCAGCUGCUCAUAUAUUGGUGUGUAGAUUUCCAUCCACGCUUUCUUAAGUGGUGAAUACCUAUGUGGUGGAACUGAAACCUUCCUGAACUGAACUCGACCAUCAGACAUCUCAUGAGCCUUCAGAGGCUCGAACUUUGGCUUAGGUGGCAGUGAAAAUGACCCAGUAUUUGUUCCCAAUCCAUUUGGCAUGGUUUCUACUUCCAUUGAAGCAGGGGCUUCACCAGACUGCAUUGUGAUACACCACCAAAUUUCUGCCAUUACAAAGAUUUGAUCCAUGAUGAUAUAUUCACUGGAUACAACCAUCCUAAUUGCUCUAACAACAGCAUCUAGUCCACUAUAAAAUAAAAAUAAUUCCACGACACACAAGAGAAAGCUAUAUACAUAAUUACAUAUAUACACACACAAAAACCAAAUAGGAAACAGACAAAUUGGGAUUUUUCUUUUAAUAGAAUUAGAUACCCUCGACACAAAUUGGAUUUUUUUCUUAAUUUUAAUAAUUGAGUCGGUCCUAGAGAUGGACCAGGCGGUAAUCUUAUUGAUUAGUCAUGGCUAGAUUUCGAAAAUAAGUCGAUCUACUUCUGAAUAGAAAUUAUUAAAAAUAAAAGGAAUUAACCAAAUUUUAAGCGGUAGGAACCGAAGUAAACCAUGCGCCUAAUCAACUAAAAAGUAGGAGACCUUCAAUUGCUAAACCUGAUCUUAUUGUUCACAAACAAAUAAUCAGAAGUUUAAAUCCAUCCACGAAAAGGGUCGAAUUCAAGACACUUCCAAAGCAAUCCAGAUGAAAGCAUAUUAAUGCUUCAAAGACAAUGAGGUACGAUUUUUAUAAUUAAUCAACAACAUAAUUUCAACAUUCAAAACAUUAUUAUUGAAAAAGAAAAAGGAAAAAAUUUCAAUCAUCUCAAUUGCUUACCUUAAAAAGAACAAAGUUGAAAGCGGCAGAGACGAGGACACGGGCGAAAAUAAGCAAUUGAGCGGUUUCCCGCCUGCAGAAGAGUGAAAGAGAGAGCUUCAAAGGAGAUGGCUUAGACAAGGUGGGCGGUCGACGGUCGUCUGAGAUAGAGAAAGGCAAACAACAGCGCGCGUUGGGUGAGCAGGCUUCUGAGACUGCAACAAAGGGUUGUGACGAAAGGCUAUGAGAAAGAACGAGAGGUUAGGGUUUUUCUUUUGGAUGAAACCCGUUGAUCCAAACUACAGUGUUUCUGCGGAUGAUUUUUUUUUUUGGCGAAAAAAUCCUGCCCAUGAAUUUAUAUUAAUUUUUUUAAAAUUACUAUUUAAUAGUUUGAAAAAGUAAAUUAAAAUGUAUCUAAAGUUUUUAAAGGUUUAUAAUUAUUAGCCGGUGUAAUGCGGUUAGUUUUUAAGUUUUUUUUUUUAAGCGAAGAAAUUUAUUAUUAUAAAUUUAAAUAUCAAAUAUCAAUAAAAAAGAAUUUCAAUGUUUAAUACACAGAACGGAUAAUUUGUACUAAUAUAUAAAUAACCACAUUUGCAGAUAGACAAACAUACCGAAAAGAAACAAUAAAUCUCUUGUACAAUCAUUAAUAAUUAAUCCAAAAGAGUCAUCAAAAUUUGAUGACUGAAAGGACAAAAACCAAGCAAGAUGUGUCAGACUCAAGGAUAAUAUUCUGCCAUCCACAAUUCCUAAUCCAAUACAAAGCUUCCCACACGCCAAUGGCUUCAGCAAUAUUAUAUAAAAAUAUGCCAAGGACCGUGAAAGACUAAGCUGAAAAGCUCCAUAAUGAGCACCAGUCACCAUACCAAUACAUGUGUGAGUACCAUGAACAGUAGUAGUAAUAUCACAUUAAUCUUUAUCUUCCCUACGGGCAGACACAAUCAACACAUAAGUGGAUUAACAUGUACACACACCGGAUCAUUCAACACUUGUUUAGCCAGUCUCCAAGAUUCUAAAUAUUGGACUGCAAACUGUGCAAUGUUGAAAGGUGAAGAAACAACCGAAUCCCAAAUCUUUUUAUUUCAAUGAAACCACAAACUCCAACAAGUAGUGAGAAGAAGAGCAUGCUCAUUACAUAUAUCAGUACCAGCACCCACACACCAGUAACUUCCUUGCUGUAAUACAUUCUGAGAUGACCAUAAGCUGUGCAAGUAUAGCUUGAAUUACACCCAAGAGAGGCUUCCAUAAUAGAACAACGGGGAUAAUAACGUGCCUUCAAAACUUUAGCCACUAAGGAGCCAGGGAACACAACAAAAUAAUUGCUUACCAAGCAUAGCAAUAUUGAAAGAACACAAAACUUUUAAAACCCAAACCCCCUGAAUUUUUAGCUUGACAUAACCUCCUCCAAGACAUCCAAUUAAUACCACGAGCACCACUUCUACGCGAGCCCCCCAAAAAAAAUAUUCAUCAUCCUUUCCAAUUCAGCAUAGAGAGAAAUGGGAAGAAAUCACCCAUCUUAUAAUUGAGAAGCGCUUGAGCCACUGUCUUAAGUAAAAUUUCCUUGCCCGCGCGUCAAAGGAACUUUUGGUUCCAAGCGUGCAGUCGGUUCCAAACUCGAUUUUUAAUGAAAGCAAAAACCUCUUUCUUCGAUCGAUCAAUCAUUGAUGGCAGGCCUAAAUAUUUACCCAGAUUCAGUGAAGCACCCACUCCGAGUAUUGAGGAGAUUUGCACUUUUUCAGCAGAAGAAACCGAAGCACUAAACAUCAGCUGGGAUUUAUUUAGAUUGAUGGAUUGUCCAGAAGCUAACUUAUAGGACAUAAGUAAAUCUUUUAUGCACGUAGCUUCUAGUCUUCUACUGAUGUUGCCCUAAAGAACAGCAAGCUAUCAUCAGCAAAAAACAAAUGGCUAAUGCUAGGAGCUCCUCGAGCGACACGAUAACCAUGAAUAUGUCCUUGGUUUUCAGUAUUUUGAAUAAUUGUAGAAUUGUAGACAAGCCUUCAGCACAUAGAAUGGACGUGUAUGGAGACAAUGGGCAUCCCUAUCGAAGACCACGAGUAGGAACAACUGGACCAACAUCUACACCAUUAUGUAGAAUAGUAUAUCUCACUAUGGUAAUGUAUAACAUAAUCAAGGAAAUAAAUUGCUGAUGGAAACCCAACCUCUCCGAUCAUUUAAAGAUAGGACCAUUCUAAUGGAUCAUAUGCUUUCGACAUAUCAAGCUUAAGAGAUGCGUAACCAAGCCUCCCUUGAGUACGACGCUUCAAGUAAUGAAGAAUUCAAAGCCAAUAAGAAAAUGAUCUACAAUACUUCGUCUGGAACAAAAGCACUUUGAUAAGGACCUAUAACAUCAGCAAGAAUACUCUUAAGACUAUUAGCUAAAUCUUAGCCACUAUCUUAUAAAGGACAUUACACAAUGAGAUAGGUCGAAAAUUACUCAUUGUAGUAAUGAGCACAAUUAGAGUAUCAUUCAAUCCCCUAGGAAAUUGACCUGUAGUUAAAAUACUGGNNNNNNNNNNNNNNNNNNNNNNNNNNNNNNNNNNNNNNNNNNNNNNNNNNNNNNNNNNNNNNNNNNNNNNNNNNNNNNNNNNNNNNNNNNNNNNNNNNNNNNNNNNNNNNNNNNNNNNNNNNNNNNNNNNNNNNNNNNNNNNNNNNNNNNNNNNNNNNNNNNNNNNNNNNNNNNNNNNNNNNNNNNNNNNNNNNNNNNNNNNNNNNNNNNNNNNNNNNNNNNNNNNNNNNNNNNNNNNNNNNNNNNNNNNNNNNNNNNNNNNNNNNNNNNNNNNNNNNNNNNNNNNNNNNNNNNNNNNNNNNNNNNNNNNNNNNNNNNNNNNNNNNNNNNNNNNNNNUGUAAAAAGCCCUAAAAUACUUAGACAAGUAUCAGUAAAAUAUUGCCCAAUUAUAUCCCAAAAGUGUUGAGAGAAAUUCGGGUUCAAACCAUCUGGAGCAGGGGAUUUGUCCGAGUGCAUAGAAAAAAUAGUUGCCUUAACUUCAUCAGCAUGAAACUGACCGAUCAAACGAGAAUUGUGAUCAGCAGUAACACGAUUGGAUAGACAAUUCACCACACCUACAACAUUCACCCUCUGACCACAGAACAAAGUAUUAAAAUAGUCAAGCAUAUGAUCCCCAAAAGCAUUUAUUCCUUCAUACCAAGUACUCGAGGAAUCUCACAACUUAACAACUUGAUUUCUAUCUAUUCUUGAUGACGCUUUAUUAUGAAAAAUCGAGUAUUUUCAUCACCAAAAUGUAACCAACACUGCUUACUGCUUUGCUUUCAGUAAAUCUCUUGUUGGAGCAAAGCUUGUUGGAGCUGCCUCUUAAUAUGAAAGAAAGUUUCAAUAUCAGUUGCAUCCCUAGACCGAUGAAGACUUCUAAUUUGUCCCUUCCAGACUAAAAUCAUUGUCCGUCAGUUUCCUUUAUUUUUCCUAUUUCAACCAGAUAACUCUCGACUAUACAAUUUGAUCUUAUCCAAAAUAGAAGAACCACCCAAGAGAUUCCAACUGUGCUAUACAACUGUUCUAUAAUUAGACUCACUAAUCCAAGAAUUUUCAAAUCUGAAAUGUGAUACACAAGACCGGAUGGGUGAUAAUAGUGGCUCCAAAACAAUUGGCAAAUGAUAUGAGGAUGAAUAAGAUAAAGAAGACAAACAAACAUUCGAAAACUGAGAAUGCCAAACAAUUUUUACCAAAGUUCUAUCAAGCCUUUCUUCAACCCAAUGUGGUAGAACCUCAGCCACGCUCCCAAGUAAAUUCGUUAUCUUACAAUGGCAAAUCAAUUAAAACAGUAUCAACAAAUGCAUGGCGAAAACCAUCUAUAAGCCAACAAGAUUGAGGUGCAUCCCCUCUCUUCUCAUUUACAGAUAAAAUAUCAUUGAAAUCUCCCACACAGCACCACGCUUGAGAAGAUGCAAGAGACAAGAUUACGUAAAAGCUCCCAAGAAAGCCUUCGCUGUGUACGGUUUGGAUGACCAUAAAAACCCGCCAAUCUCCAAGAACCCAUAUUCACAACAGACACUGAAACAAAUAUGAUGAGCAAAGAAGCUAAGGAUAACCAUGCAUCCUUUUUCCAAAACAAUGCCAACCCUCCACUACGGCCCCUACAAUUAACGGAAAACACACUUUCAUAACCCAGAGAAACACGAAGAGAUUCUAAUCUAUCCGAGAAGAUAGAUUCUCAAUAAAAGAAUAUAUAUAUAUAUAUAUAUAUAUAUAUAUAUAUAUAUAUAUAUAUAUAGGCUGCGUAUCUCUUACAAAUUCAUGCAAAAACAGAAUUGCCCGUGGAUUGCCCAAACCACCGCAGUUCCAGCUCAAGGUCAUCAUGGCUCUCGGCAGACCUGUCCCACGAUUCCCGCCGUUACAUCAUUUUUUGCCUGAGUUGAAGCUUCAGACAUAGCUACAAUUGGUACAAUAGAGUGGACUUUAGAAAUGCCAUCUUCUUUACGACGUUGCUUAGAAUCAACAAUUACAACCCCAUCAGGUAAAUUGGUAAAGUCACAUGCGUAGGAUUAGAAGUUGAUAUUAAAUCAACAGCUAGAUCCAUAUCAUGAUUAACACCGAAAGUAGAAGUCGGUUCCAUUCCAAUAAGGUGGCCAUGCAAGCCACGUCCAGGACAGUUAUUUUUUGGCACAGUUAUUGUAUCCUGAUUAGCAGUAACUGCCACCAAUGCCUCCUCCCUCAACCAAUAGUCCCCAAUCGCCUGAGAUGAACACCGACCAGCAUCCCAUAACCAUAUACCAUAAGAACGUUGCAAUGGCAACGAAUUCAGAUCAAAUAGAGAAGCACAUAAACGCUCUGAAUGACCGAGUUUACCACAAAUAAAACAAAAAAUUUGUAAUCGCUCAUUUUUGAAAGAGAUCCAAAUCCAGUCACCACCAUCUUUCUUAAUUUUCAUUCGGCGUUUUAAUGGAACGCAAACAUCCAACUUGCCCUGAUGUGCAUAUACGGACUCUAAUAACAAUUGAAGUUUGAUGGAUUAGAGGCCACAUACUCACCAACAUAAUUGCCAAUGGAAGCAGCAACACACUCAGACAUAAAACCCAAGGGAAAAAUCAAAUACCUGAACCCAUAUAAGAGUCUGAAACAACAAUGCAGAAGUUCACUUUUUUGCAUUUUAAUUAAUUAAUUAAUUACAAGAAUAUGAAAAAGCAAAAACCAAAAUUCAAUUCGUCAACUAGAAAAAAAAAUUAACAGUUGUUUGCUAAUUUUAAAUAUGAUUUAAAUAGUUAAAAAGGGAGAAAAAAAUAUAAAUUUUGAAAAAUUAUUGAACUAUAAGCAACAUAAGUAUGCUGGAGUUGAUUAAUGAAUAAGAAGCUUAAACAAUUUGCCAAGCACAGUAACAAAAACUUGAAAAAUCAUUUUUCUUUUAAAGUUUACUGGCUCGAUCCAAAUUUUAUAAAUUUUUAUAUUUAUAGCUUAAAUUUUUAAUUUUUGAUAAAAAAUUUUAAUUUUUGAAUUUGUUGUAAUUAUAUAAUAAUUUUUAAAUUAAUUUUAAUCAAAUUUAAAUUAAUUUACACGGUAUGAUCUAUAUAAUUAUUUUUAUUACAUGUGUAAUUUGAUUAACUGAAAUUAAAUCUCAAUUAAAAUCUUAAACUUUUAAUUACACGAAAUUUCUUAAUUAUAUAAUUGAAAUAUUUAAUUAUCUUAUAAUUAAUUAAGAAUAUUAAUUAAAGAUUUUAGAUAAUUAGGGGUUUAAAAUCUUAAUCAAAAUCGAGUUAAAAAGAAAAGUCUUAAUCCAAGUUCAAUUCAAAUUAAUCAAAUUAAUUAUAUGAUAAAAAUAAUGCCAUAUAGUGUAUCACGUGAGCUAAUUUAAAUCUGAUUUAAAUUAAUUUAGAAAAUUUGUUAUAAUUAUAAUAAAUUUAAAAAUUGAAUUUUUUGAUUCAAAAUUAAAAAUGUAGAUUAUAAAUAUAAAAAUUCAUAAAGUUAGAUCGUUUUGAUCAGAACUACUUUUUUAUUAUCAUUCAAAUUCAAAAGUAUAAAAUUAUAAUAUUAUUAUAGCAAAUCAAUACAAACUACAUGAAUUUAUCAUUAAACUUUCCUCUCAAGACCAAUAAAAAGAAGAUAGCAGUUCAAAAAAGUUACAUGGUAUACAUUAAUACAAUUUAAAAUUCAAAAGGUUUUAUUACAUCGACAGGAAAGAUAACAUAAUUUAGGAAUGAAGAUUAGUAGUAAGUACAACAAUAAAACUCUCAAUUAAUUAUCUACUUAAUUUUAAUCACAAGAGGGGUCUUGACCUUAUGCUUCUUAUCGGACCAUAAUAGCUCGCCAUAGACAUAGCCCUCGUGCUUGCUGCUAUUGACAAUAGGCUUAAGAGUAACCUUAUAGAUCUUCUCUUCACCAGCUUUUGAAAAUGUAAGACUUUCAGGUUCAACUUCAAUUGAAAUUCCAGGGGGUGCAAGGACAUGGACAUUAUAGGUCCCAGGAGAGCCUACAUUCUUGACUCUACGAGAUAUGGUGGUCGAGCCUUUUAGAUUUGGAACUGUGAUCGAAGGGUAGUUGAAUGCAGAUACACUGAAAUGCUUAGGACAUGUAAAAGAAUUAUUCCCGAAUGUUCGGAUAAAGGAUAUGUUGUACUUAUGGUGACAAAGAAGGUUUAGAUAAUCAUUCAUGAUUAAGUCAUAAACUAGGCCAGGAUCUGCUGCACGGUUUGGCUGUACGUGACCAGCACCGUAUGCAAAUGGUGUUGCAUUUUUCCCAUCUGCAUCAAGUAUAUGCUUCCCAUUGUCGGCUUUUGUAGUUGCUGCAGGUGUAAUAGGUUGAUUUCGUUAGCUCUAGCUAAACCAGUAAUAUUUCAGGGUCGGAAAAAAAGAGAAAGAUUAGAUGAUUAGACCGGUAGUCAUAAUGGCGGAUUUGAUAGCAGCAGAACUCCAAUCUGGAUGAAGUGAUUUGAGAAGACCAACAAUACCGGCGACGUGAGGGCACGACAUUGAAGUGCCAGAUAUUAUGUUAAAAGGACUGCGACGCUCAUCAGAUAUAGAGUCAGAUGGCGAUACUGCUUCGGAAUAUGCAGCUAGUACAUUAACUCCAGGUGCAGUGAUGUCAGGCUGAUACAAUAUACUUCAAAUUAAACAUUAGCUAUAAAAUGAUUUAUUUGCAUAAAAAAGAGUAUUUUUCUAACUUGGGCAGAUUUAAUAGGCCAAGUAUUUAACAAAUCGAAUAAACCACUAAACUAACCUUAAGGAUCUCUGGAUCAAGUGAAUUAGGUCCCCUAGAUGAGAAUGCUGCCAUCUCUGGAGCUAGAACAUUGAUCCCCAAUUCUGUCUUUACCGAAGAGAUUGAUGCCGUGGCAUUUCUGUUUGAACGACAUAAAACCAUAAAUGAGUUAAUAUGUAAGAAUUAAUCUUCAAAUUGUUCAAAUUCAUCAAUGAAAUAGCAUUCGAAAUAUACUUGGUGGAAUUCAAGUAAGCAAGAGCCACUAAACCAUCUGUGUAAUUGAUAUGUGAGGCUGGCAAGAUAUGAGGAUCAGCUAUAAUUUCAUUCCCAGUUGAUUGAUCAUUUGCUAUUAUCAUCCCAAUAGCACCUGCUCGAGCAGCUUCAAUUCCCUUCUCUGGUCUUCCAAUAUCACCACCUCGAAGGCAGACUAUGAUCUUCCCUGCUGCCUUGUGAGGAUCAAGUGUUCCAGGUCCGCAUAGUGUACUGCAUCGGUCACAUUUUAAGUAACUUUAAACCAAUAAAGCUCCCUACGGAUAAAACUGAAGUUUUCAAAUUAACCACUCACGCAUUUUCAACUGUGGAGUUAGAAGCUUUUGCGUCCGCAGCAGAUAUCAACGGAUAAGACUUUCCAGCAGGCAAGGCUUUGUCCGAAAGACUUGUUCCCUGGACAUCAAAAUAACAAAAGUUUUCCUUGAACAUUUACUUUCUGCUUAUGGAUGAUGAUAAUGGAUACAGAUCACACAAGUUCAUACCUUUAGACUCUUAUCGUUGCCAAGUAUAACAAAGUUAGUGAAAUCGCGAUCCAUUGUACUUGCACCAAUGGUGAAAACCCAUGGUGCAACAUUAGAUGAAGUAAAUUCAUCUGGUCCAUCAUUCCCAGCCGAAGCAACUACACUCAUCCCUCUACUCACUGCAGCUAAGGCUCCAAUGGCUAUUACGUCUAUAUUAUAAUCUAUCGCACCAGCUCCACCUAAUGAUAAUGAGAGCACAUCCACUCCAUCACUUAUGGCUGCAUCAAUUCCAGCCAAGAUAUCUGCAGAAAAGCAGCCAUCGGCCCAGCAGACUUUGUAAGCUGCCACUCGAGCUUUGGGCGAUCCACCUUUAGCUGUUCCAUUGCCAUAACCAAAGAUACUUGCUCCAGGGACAAAGUUGCCACCAGCUGUGGAUAAGGUGUGUGUGCCAUGUCCAUCAGUGUCCCUCGCAGAUAGUUCAGUUGUGUUGGGGCCAACUUCUGCACUAAGGCCUUUGUAGAAGUACCUUGCUCCUAUGAGCUUUCUGGGCAUAUAACAAAAUUGUGUUUUUUUUUUCUUUAGGAUCUCAGUGGAUCUUCAGUGCAUUACAAUUAAAAUAUUAGCAAAAGAGAGAAAGAAUGGACCUGUUACAGCGAACUCCACCUUCAGUCUGACAAAAUCCUUUCCAUCUUGAUGGCACAGGUCCCAUCCCCUCAUCGUUAAAGCUCUUUGACUCAGGCCAAACACCUUGUGACAUGGUACCCAUAAAUAUAUGAGCUUCAUAAAGUUAAGAAAAUAAGAGUUAUCAACCCAAUACUUGCUAAAGAAUAGCAUACUCACCUGUGUCUAAGUUUGCAAUAAUCACAUCUUGACCAUAUUUUGCCUUUUUCCAAAUGGAGUUUUUAGUAGCAGCUCCAUUAUUGUUCUCUAAUCCAAGAAAUUCCCAUGAAUGGGUUGUGUAUAGUUCAUACUUUCUAUUCAAGAAAACUGAUUGGACAUUUGGAUUAUCUGCAUCCAUUUAAACUUGAUUAAUUAAGCUAUAAAAAAAUUGAACUGGUUUAAAAUUAAUAGGAACUGAAAAUUACUUUUAAGUUGUUCUGCUUGUUGUUCAUCAAGCAUUGCAGCAAAACCAUUCACACAUCUUGUGUAAGAGUAAAAAAUUUCAGGUUGGUCCUGCUUUCCACUGCAUUAGAGAGAAGAUUGUAAAUCUUUUCAAUUCUUUUUACAUUAUCAAAAAAUAAUUACAUAAUGAACUUUUCAAAAAAAGAAAAUUUGAAACCUAUGUAACGAGGCCAACAAGGCAGAAUGUGAUUGUGACACUUUCUGAUCAUCAAAAACUGUAUUCUCUUGAGGAAAUGAAUUCUGUCCCAGGUAUACUAUAUAAGCCUGCACCAAACAUAACUGGCUUAGUACAUUAAUCAAGUAUGCACUUAUGCAGUAUUGAAACAUGAAUUCUCUUACGUAUAUACUUGCCUGUUUGGCAGCAUGAGAAGGAAAAUGCAGAAGAGUGAAAAGAAAUGAAGAGAAAAGAACUGAAAUCUUCAAUUUUGCUUUCAACAUGUCUUCUAUGUGCUGUGAUGAAAAGCUCUUUCUUUCCCUGUUUUUGUAAUCACAUUAUUUUGCUAUUUUUAGUGGAAAUUUGUAAAAUUCUAUUAAUUAAAUUGAUGGGUUAGCGUAACUUUAGUGUGACAACUCAUAUUUCCUUGUCCAUUUUAUUAAUUUGGAAUAAUCUUUAAUAAGUUUACUAAAAUUUUAUUACGUAAUUCUGUGACAACUCAAAAAUUCUUUUAAUUAUUAAACNNNNNNNNNNNNNNNNNNNNNNNNNNNNNNNNNNNNNNNNNNNNNNNNNNNNNNNNNNNNNNNNNNNNNNNNNNNNNNNNNNNNNNNNNNNNNNNNNNNNNNNNNNNNNNNNNNNNNNNNNNNNNNNNNNNNNNNNNNNNNNNNNNNNNNNNNNNNNNNNNNNNNNNNNNNNNNNNNNNNNNNNNNNNNNNNNNNNNNNNNNNNNNNNNNNNNNNNNNNNNNNNNNNNNNNNNNNNNNNNNNNNNNNNNNNNNNNNNNNNNNNNNNNNNNNNNNNNNNNNNNNNNNNNNNNNNNNNNNNNNNNNNNNNNNNNNNNNNNNNNNNNNNNNNNNNNNNNNNNNNNNNNNNNNNNNNNNNNNNNNNNNNNNNNNNNNNNNNNNNNNNNNNNNNNNNNNNNNNNNNNNNNNNNNNNNNNNNNNNNNNNNNNNNNNNNNNNNNNNNNNNNNNNNNNNNNNNNNNNNNNNNNNNNNNNNNNNNNNNNNNNNNNNNNNNNNNNNNNNNNNNNNNNNNNNNNNNNNNNNNNNNNNNNNNNNNNNNNNNNNNNNNNNNNNNNNNNNNNNNNNNNNNNNNNNNNNNNNNNNNNNNNNNNNNNNNNNNNNNNNNNNNNNNNNNNNNNNNNNNNNNNNNNNNNNNNNNNNNNNNNNNNNNNNNNNNNNNNNNNNNNNNNNNNNNNNNNNNNNNNNNNNNNNNNNNNNNNNNNNNNNNNNNNNNNNNNNNNNNNNNNNNNNNNNNNNNNNNNNNNNNNNNNNNNNNNNNNNNNNNNNNNNNNNNNNNNNNNNNNNNNNNNNNNNNNNNNNNNNNNNNNNNNNNNNNNNNNNNNNNNNNNNNNNNNNNNNNNNNNNNNNNNNNNNNNNNNNNNNNNNNNNNNNNNNNNNNNNNNNNNNNNNNNNNNNNNNNNNNNNNNNNNNNNNNNNNNNNNNNNNNNNNNNNNNNNNNNNNNNNNNNNNNNNNNNNNNNNNNNNNNNNNNNNNNNNNNNNNNNNNNNNNNNNNNNNNNNNNNNNNNNNNNNNNNNNNNNNNNNNNNNNNNNNNNNNNNNNNNNNNNNNNNNNNNNNNNNNNNNNNNNNCUUUAUAAUUUUGAAAAAUUCAAUUAAAUCAUAUCAAAAUUUAAAAUUAUAUUCCUAAAAUUUGAAAAAAUUUCGACUUAUUUUUAUAGCUAGCCUAAAAGAACUAGAACCAAAUAUUGCAAAAGAUGGCUUCCGGAUUGUGCAAAGAGACUGCCCAAAUCUAGAGUUAUUUUCCAUCGAAUUAUUAAAUUUCAUAUUGGUUUGAGUUAAAGCAAUUUAGUAUUAGUGUUAACACUCCUAAUUUUUAAAAUGAGUUAAAUCUAAUUUAAAUUUAACACGAAACAUCAAAAGGAGAGUGCAAAAACUCUAAAUGAUAAAAGGCAAGAGAUUAUUAAGAAAAAUAGAAUUCUCAACGAAUCAUUGGAGAUGGAAUAUGGAAACUGAUCUAAAUUAAUUACACAUUUAUUUCAAUCAAAUCUCACUAAAUCAUUCUAAUCGAAUUAAAUUAUUUAUAAAUUAUUUGAAGAUUGAUUCCUAUAAAAAUUUAAUUUGGUUUAAUUCAUAUUAAAAAUGAUUUAAAUUUCACCCUUAUUUUUUAUUACUCAUUUAAUAAAUUAGAGUGAAUUCAUAUCCUUACAUCUCGCAGGUAAACUCAAUUAGAAGGCUGGUGAAAGUUGACAAGACUGCAUAGGUAACUUUACGCGGUAAGUAUGCUUACAUCUCAGCCUUAGUUAAUCUUAAAAAGCCUCUCAUUUCAAAAGUCGAUAUUAGAGGUCGAGUAUAAUUGAUUGAGUACGAAAAUGUGUCGAGUAUCUGCUUUACUUGCAGUGUUGGUCAUUCCUCAGUCUCUUACGAAGCUUCAAAAAUGGAGGCUACUCAAAGUGCCCUGAUUUAGCCAGACACCACCUGCGACGAUUGGAUGGUGGUGGCGAGUUGGGAAAGAAGGAACCAGUCUAGAAGUGCUAUUGAGUGCACUAAUCAAGGAGGCAAUAGUGGGUCAAAGUUAUUUUGGGUAAGAAUUUAGACAUGGAAGGUAGGAUUGAAGUUAAUAAGACAACUCACGCCAACAUCCCUAAAUUUUCUGAUGCUCGUAUCCUCAAGGUUUCAACGGCUCCUAUGGCAAAAAGGAAAGAAAUCUGCCCAUCUACCGGCUCUGACUUGCAGCGAUCGAAUCAAAAGAAGCAAGAAAAUCGUGAGUUGAAUAUAAGCACUCAUAAAGGGAAUAAUUUUUUGUUAUCAUGUUGGGGAUACUUCUGCCUCACGUAGUAACGUUGCCAUGCAACAUGCCCAAGCAGAAGUUACCCACAUGAAAUCCUCUUUGAAUGCUAAUGCUCACACGAUGAUAUGUGUUGGUCCGCCUCAAACACUCGAGACUAUUGCAUCUUCCCCUUGUGAAGGUACUGGAGGGACCCUUAGUUUGAAUCUUAUACCAAACAUCCAUAGUAGAUCUCCAGAUGUGAUCAAAUCUCCGGUUUGCUCCGAUUCUCAUAUUUAGAAUUUGUCAACUUUCCCAAACAUUGCUGGUAUGAAUAGUAAGUGCAAUCUGAAUCUGUCACACCCUGUUCUUAUUAAGAAUAUGAUUUUAGAGUAGGAAAAGAUGCGAGGAUGAGUAUAAUGACACGGAUGAUGACAGUAUUUUUGAGGAGGAAUCUUUGGGGAUCCUUAUCUUCAAGACUAAGGUGUUGUCGCUCUUAUUUUUCUUCCUUUUUAUGGAUAUGUUUAUUUUCAUUUGGAAUUAUCAAACAGUGGGUAGUACGAUUUUAUGAAUUAAUACUUUCAAGUUAAUUUUGGAGAAACACCAUCUAGACCUCAUUGUUCUCCUUGAACCCCGUAUAAGUGGUAAGAAAGUUGAUAAUUUCAUUAAGAAAAUGAAAUUUACUAGAGCACAUCGUAUAGAGGCUAAUGGCUUCUCAUGAGGCAUUUGGCCCUUGUGGAACUCUAAUUGGGACGUCCAGGUUUUGGUUAAUGAUAAACAGUUUGCUCAUACUCUUAUUUCUGAUAAUGGUAACCUUGUUAUGUCUUCUUAAUGUUGUCUAUGGUAGUCCUAUUGCUCUUUGCAAGAGGAGCUUAUAGAGUAAAUUACUUUCCUUCAAUAUACAAUCGAAAGACGGUUGGCUUUUGGCAAGCGAUUUUAACUCUAUACUUUCAACAGAUGAAAGAGUGGUGGGUUUUUAUACAGAUCAAGAGUGUCGCAAGAUUUCUUAAAUUGGUUAUUGUAAUCUUGAGUUUUCGACCUUUGCUUCAAGGGUCAUAUUUUCACUUGGCAGAAAGGAAAUUUUUUUUAGUGACUCGAUAGAGCACUCUGUAUUGAUGUUUGGAAGUCCAAGUUUCCUAAGGCAACUUUCUUCCACCUAGCUUGCAUUCAAUUGGACCACAUGCCCCUUCUUAUUAAUCUUCAUAGCAAUCAACCUCCUCCUCCUUUUUAAAUUUCAAGCAGUUUGACUUUCUCAUACUAGCUUUGAACCUUUUUUUAA
rnacentral:lncRNA from 1 species